rnacentral:rRNA from 1 species
GAUGAACGCUGGCGGCGUGCCUAAUACAUGCAAGUCGAGCGAACGGACGAGAAGCUUGCUUCUCUGAUGUUAGCGGCGGACGGGUGAGUAACACGUGGAUAACCUACCUAUAAGACUGGGAUAACUUCGGGAAACCGGAGCUAAUACCGGAUGAUAUUUUGAACCGCAUGGUUCAAAAGUGAAAGACGGUCUUGCUGUCACUUAUAGAUGGAUCCGCGCUGCAUUAGCUAGUUGGUAAGGUAACGGCUUACCAAGGCAACGAUGCAUAGCCGACCUGAGAGUGUGAUCGGCCACACUGGAACUGAGACACGGUCCAGACUCCUACGGGAGGCAGCAGUAGGGAAUCUUACGCAAUGGGCGAAAGCCUGACGGAGCAACGCCGCGUGAGUGAUGAAGGUCUUCGGAUCGUAAAACUCUGUUAUUAGGGAAGAACAUAUGUGUAAGUAACUGUGCACAUCUUGACGGUACCUAAUCAGAAAGCCACGGCUAACUACGUG